rnacentral:rRNA from 1 species
GAUGAACGCUGGCGGCGUGCCUAAUACAUGCAAGUCGAGCGCGGAGAUGAGGAGCUUGCUCCUCUGAUCCGAGCGGCGGACGGGUGAGUAACACGUAGGCAACCUACCCAUCAGACCGGGAUAACCGCGGGAAACCGUGGCUAAUACCGGAUGACCCUUCGAAACACAAGUUUUGAAGUUGAAAGGCGCUUUUGGUGCCGUUGAUGGAUGGGCCUGCGGCGCAUUAGCUAGUUGGUGAGAUAACGGCUCACCAAGGCGACGAUGCGUAGCCGACCUGAGAGGGUGAUCGGCCACACUGGGACUGAGACACGGCCCAGACUCCUACGGGAGGCAGCAGUAGGGAAUCUUCCGCAAUGGACGAAAGUCUGACGGAGCAACGCCGCGUGAGUGAAGAAGGGUUUCGGCUCGUAAAACUCUGUUGUUAAGGAAGAAUGGCACAUGGCGUAACUA